rnacentral:ncRNA from 1 species
ACGAGCCUCUGGAGAGUUCCUUAAAUGGACGCCGAAGGAGCAAGCCCUUAGGGGUGAAACUCUCAGGCAAAAGGACAGGGGAUU